rnacentral:rRNA from 1 species
UACGUAGGGUGCGAGCGUUGUCCGGAAUUAUUGGGCGUAAAGAGCUUGUAGGCGGUUUGUCGCGUCUGCCGUGAAAUUUCGAGGCUCAACCUCGAACUUGCGGUGGGUACGGGCAGACUAGAGUGUGGUAGGGGAGACUGGAAUUCCUGGUGUAGCGGUGAAAUGCGCAGAUAUCAGGAGGAACACCGAUGGCGAAGGCAGGUCUCUGGACAUUAACUGACGCUGAGGAGCGAAAGCAUGGGGAGCGAACAGG